rnacentral:rRNA from 1 species
UACGUAGGUGGCAAGCGUUUGUCCGGAAUUAUUGGGCGUAAAGCGCGCGCAGGUGGUUCCUUAAGUCUGAUGUGAAAGCCUACGGCUCAACCGUGGAGGGUCAUUGGAAACUGGGGAACUUGAGUGCAGAAGAGGAAAGUGGAAUUCCACGUGUAGCGGUGAAAUGCGUAGAGAUGUGGAGGAACACCAGUGGCGAAGGCGACUUUCUGGUCUGUAACUGACACUGAGGCGCGAAAGCGUGGGGAGCGAACAGG